rnacentral:rRNA from 1 species
AAUGAACGUUGGCGGCGUGGAUUAGGCAUGCAAGUCGAGCGAGAACCCAGCAAUGGGGGACAGCGGCGAAAGGGACAGUAAUGUGUAGAUCAUCUGCCCUCAGGUCCGGGAUAGAUGCGGGAAACUGCAGGUAAUACCGGAUAACAUCUCCGGAUCAAAGGUGUGAUUCCGCCUGAGGAUGAGUCUACAUCCUAUUAGCUAGUUGGUGGGGUAAUGGCCUACCAAGGCGAUGAUGGGUAGCGGGUGUGAGAGCACGACCCGCGUCAUUGGGACUGAGACACUGCCCAGACACCUACGGGUGGCUGCAGUCGAGAAUCUUCGGCAAUGGGCGCAAGCCUGACCGAGCGACGCCGCGUGCGGGAUGAAGGCCUUCGGGUUGUAAACCGCUGUCAGAGGGGAUGAAAUGCAGGUGGGUUCUCCCAUCUGUUUGACAUAGCCUCAGAGGAAGGACGGGCUAAGUUCGUGCCAGCAGCAGCCGCGGUAA